GGCAUCUCCAAAGUGGAAGGUAGAAAGAGGGCCGGCCGGAGGGGCUCAAUAGCCCAGGCGGGCGUAAGGAAACCGCAGGAUUGCAGCUCCAAGGACGCCAUAGAUGCAGAAACUGUGAUGUAGAUGUAUCCGUUCCUUCGGACUGGGCUUCCCAGGAUCUGUCGAUCUUCACAUUGUAUCCAGUUGUGGUUUUAUGCAACAGUCUCCAUUUGCUAUGAAGAGAUGUUUCUUUGACCUGGACCAUAUCAAGCUGCAAGGGAGUCUGGAAAAACAGUGUUUUGUUGUUACUGUUCUGCUACAAAGAGUCCACUGGGUAUUGAAUAGGCAUGGAUUACUCUCUCCCAUUCUUAGCCUUCUCUUUUCUUCCCCAUCUCUGUGUCUCUUCAACUUUAGUCUGGAUUUAAAUAUCUGUUCCUGGAUUUAGAACUUUAAAAAGAAAAUGUUUGUUUUUAAUCCCACUGCUGAAUCAAAAGCAGUAGUUGAGAUGCCAAAUAUAAACAGACACGCCAGGCGCAAGGCUUCAGCAGAGAAGGCACACCUUGUACUUUCUGAAUGACAGCUUCACUGGCCAGCUUAAGAACAUCAGCGAGUUACAGAGAAAUAAACUACAAAAUGCCAACUUUUGACUCAGCACAA